UAAGGAAUAUUGCUCAAUGGGAGAAAUCCUGAAGCAGCAACGCCGCGUGGAGGAUGAAGGGUCUAUGACUUGUAAACUCCUGUAAAGAAGGAAAAAAUUCCCAUUAGAUGGGAGAUGAUGGUACUUCUGGAGUAAGCCCCGGCUAACUACGUGCCAGCAGCCGCGGUAAUACGUAGGGGGCAAGCGUUGUCCGGAUUUACUGGGUGUAAAGGGUGCUCAGGCGGAUUUGUAAGUCAGAGGUGAAAUCUUACAGCUUAACUGUGAAACUGCCUUUGAUACUGCAAGCCUAGAGUAUGGAAGAGAGUGAUGGAAUAUCUGGUGUAGCAGUGAAAUGCGUAGAUAUCAGAUAGAACACCAAUGGCGAAGGCAGUCACUUGGUCCAUUACUGACGCUAAAGCACGAAAGCGUGGAUAGCAAACA
rnacentral:rRNA from 1 species